UAGGGAAUAUUGGACAAUGGGGGCAACCCUGAUCCAGCCAUGCCGCGUGAGUGAAGAAGGCACUCGGGUUGUAAAGCUCUUUUGUCCGGAAAGAAAAGCUUCGGGUUAAUACCCCGGGGUUCUGACGGUACCGGAAGAAUAAGCACCGGCUAACUUCGUGCCAGCAGCCGCGGUAAUACGAAGGGUGCAAGCGUUACUCGGAAUUACUGGGCGUAAAGCGUGCGUAGGUGGUUGUUUAAGUCUGAUGUGAAAGCCCUGGGCUCAACCUGGGAAGGGCAUUGGAAACUGGGCAGCUAGAGUGCGGUAGAGGGUAGUGGAAUUCCCGGUGUAGCAGUGAAAUGCGUAGAGAUCGGGAGGAACAUCUGUGGCGAAGGCGACUGCCUGGACCAGCACUGACACUGAGGCACGAAAGCGUGGGGAGCAAACA
rnacentral:rRNA from 1 species